CCCUGGCAGUCAGAGGCGAUGAAGGACGUGCUAAUCUGCGAUAAGCGUCGGUAAGGUGAUAUGAACCGUUAUAACCGGCGAUUUCCGAAUGGGGAAACCCAGUGUGAUUCGUCACACUAUCAUUAACUGAAUCCAUAGGUUAAUGAGGCGAACCGGGGGAACUGAAACAUCUAAGUACCCCGAGGAAAAGAAAUCAACCGAGAUUCCCCCAG
rnacentral:rRNA from 1 species